CGUAACAAGGGAACCCUAAAAUUUGAUCCCGGGCUUGGGAAUCCUAACCAGGGAUGCCUAUAAGUUGCCCCUGCAUGGGGAGUGUCUGGAAAGAUUUAUCGGUCUGGGAUGGACUCGCGGCCUAUCAGCUUGUUGGUGGGGUAAUGGCCUACCAAGGCGACGACGGGUAGCCGGCCUGAGAGGGCGACCGGCCACACUGGGACUGAGACACGGCCCAGACUCCUACGGGAGGCAGCAGUGGGGAAUAUUGCACAAUGGGCGCAAGCCUGAUGCAGCGACGCCGCGUGAGGGAUGAAGGCCUUCGGGUUGUAAACCUCUUUCAGCAGGGAAGAAGCGCAAGUGACGGUACCUGCAGAAGAAGCGCCGGCUAACUACGUGCCAGCAGCCGCGGUAAUACGUAGGGCGCAAGCGUUGUCCGGAAUUAUUGGGCGUAAAGAGCUCGUAGGCGGUUUGUCGCGUCUGGUGUGAAAACUCAAGGCUCAACCUUGAGCUUGCAUCGGGUACGGGCAGACUAGAGUGCGGUAGGGGUGACUGGAAUUCCUGGUGUAGCGGUGGAAUGCGCAGAUAUCAGGAGGAACACCGAUGGCGAAGGCAGGUCACUGGGCCGCAACUGACGCUGAGGAGCGAAAGCAUGGGGAGCGAACAGGAUUAGAUACCCUGGUAGUCCAUGCCGUAAACGUUGGGCACUAGGUGUGGGGCUCAUUCCACGAGUUCCGUGCCGCAGCAAACGCAUUAAGUGCCCCGCCUGGGGAGUACGGCCGCAAGGCUAAAACUCAAAGGAAUUGACGGGGGCCCGCACAAGCGGCGGAGCAUGCGGAUUAAUUCGAUGCAACGCGAAGAACCUUACCAAGGCUUGACAUACACCGGAAACUUCCAGAGAUGGUUGCCCCGCAAGGUCGGUGUACAGGUGGUGCAUGGUUGUCGUCAGCUCGUGUCGUGAGAUGUUGGGUUAAGUCCCGCAACGAGCGCAACCCUCGUCUUAUGUUGCCAGCACGUUAUGGUGGGGACUCAUAAGAGACUGCCGGGGUCAACUCGGAGGAAGGUGGGGAUGACGUCAAAUCAUCAUGCCCCUUAUGUCUUGGGCUUCACGCAUGCUACAAUGGCCGGUACAAAGGGCUGCGAU
rnacentral:rRNA from 1 species